rnacentral:rRNA from 1 species
UACAGAGGUCCCGAGCGGUGUUCGGAUUCACUGGGCGUAAAGGGUGCGUAGGUGGUGAGGUAAGUCGGAUGUGAAAUCUCCGGGCUCAACCCGGAAAUGGCAUUGGAAACUACCUUGCUAGAGGAUUUGAGGGGGGAUUGGAAUACUUGGUGUAGCAGUGAAAUGCGUAGAUAUCAAGUGGAACACCAGUGGCGAAGGCGAAUCCCUGGAAAAUACCUGACACUGAGGCACGAAAGCUAGGGGAGCAAACAGG